rnacentral:rRNA from 1 species
AGCUAUGCACGGCUGCACCGCCAACAGGCGGCAAGGCUGGAGUAUUUUAUUACCCUUGUCUUUUGCGCACUUGUUGUUUCCUGGGCGGGUUCGCCCGCCUCCAGGACCACAUGAUAAACCUUUUUUAUGCAGUUGCAAUCAGCGUCAGUACAACAAAUGUAAAUCAUUUACAACUUUCAACAACGGAUCUCUUGGUUCUGGCAUCGAUGAAGAACGCAGCGAAAUGCGAUACGUAGUGUGAAUUGCAGAAUUCAGUGAAUCAUCGAAUCUUUGAACGCACAUUGCGCCCUUUGGUAUUCCAAAGGGCAUGCCUGUUCGAGCGUCAUUUGUACCCUCAAGCUUUGCUUGGUGUUGGGCGUUUUUUGUCUUUGGUUUUGUCCAAAGACUCGCCUUAAAACGAUUGGCAGCCGGCCUACUGGUUUCGCAGCGCAGCACAUUUUUGCGCUUGCAAUCAGCAAAAGAGGACGGCACUCCAUCAAGACUCUAUAUCACUUUUGACCUCGGAUCAGGUAGGGAUACCCGCUGAACUUAAGCAUAUCAAUAAGCGGAGGAA